CCCUUAGAUGUUCUGGGCCGCACGCGCGCUACAAUGGUCUUCGCAAACGGAUGCAUUCUCGAAGGAGAAUGCCAAUCUUGGAAUCUAUGCCUUGGUCGGGACAGUUGCUUGCAAUUUUUCGACUCGAACCAGGAAUUCCUUGUAAUCGUGAUUCAUCACAUCACGAUGAAUACGUCCCUGCCCUUUGUACACACCGCCCGUCGCUACUACCGAUUGAAUGGUUCAGUGAGAUAAUCGGAUAGGUAACUCGGUGAGCAGCAAUGUUUACCAAGCAUACAUAGAAGACGAUCAAACUCAGUCAUUUAGAGGAAGUAAAAGUCGUAACA
rnacentral:rRNA from 1 species